rnacentral:rRNA from 1 species
UCUUGUACUCACCGCCCGUCAACUCAAGGGAGUUGGGAAUACCCGAAGUCUGCCCAUGUGGCGGCCUACGGUAAGCUCAAUGACAGGGAGU